rnacentral:rRNA from 1 species
UACGGGGGGGGCAAGCGUUGUUCGGAAUCACUGGGCGUAAAGGGCGUGUAGGCGGGAAUGUAAGUCGGGCGUGAAAUCCCUAGGCUCAACCUAGGAACUGCACUCGAAACUGCGUUUCUUGAGUAUCGGAGAGGAAAGCGGAAUACCUGGUGUAGAGGUGAAAUUCGUAGAUAUCAGGUGGAACACCAGUGGCGAAGGCGGCUUUCUGGACGAUAACUGACGCUGAGACGCGAAAGCGUGGGGAGCAAACAGG